rfam:Geobacter sp. FRC-32, complete genome.
UCCGAGGCGACCCGGAAUUGAAAGAAGCUGUAGGCAAAAUCCUGGACUGAUGAAGCAGUUAGAUAAAAUUAAGCAAAUAGC